rnacentral:tRNA from 1 species
GCCUGGGUGGCUCAGUUGGUUGAGCAUCCGACUUCGUCUCAGGUCAUGAUCUCACAGUUGGUGGGUUCGAGCCCCGCAUCAGGCU